rnacentral:misc_RNA from 1 species
GAUGAAGAACGUAGCGAAAUGCGAUAAGUAGUGUGAAUUGCAGAAUUCAGUGAAUCAUCGAAUCUUUGAACGCACAUUGCGCCCCUUGGUAUUCCAUGGGGCAUGCCUGUUCGAGCGUCAUUUGUACCUUCAAGCUCUGCUUGGUGUUGGGUGUUUGUCUCGCCUCUGCGUGUAGACUCGCCUCAAAACAAUUGGCAGCCGGCGUAUUGAUUUCGGAGCGCAGUACAUCUCGCGCUUUGCACUCAUAACGACGACGUCCAAAAGUACAUUUUUACACUCUUGACCUCGGAUCAGGUAGGGAUACCCGCUGAACUUAAGCAUAUCAAUAAGCGGGAGGA